UACGAAGGGGGCUAGCGUUGUUCGGAAUUACUGGGCGUAAAGCGUGCGCAGGCGGUAAUGUAAGACAGAUGUGAAAUCCCCGGGCUCAACCUGGGACCUGCAUUUGUGACUGCAUUGCUGGAGUGCGGCAGAGGGGGAUGGAAUUCCGCGUGUAGCAGUGAAAUGCGCAGAUAUCAGGAGGAACACCGGUGGCGAAGGCGGUGAUCUGGGCCGACACUGACGCUGUAGAGCGAAAGCGUGGGGAGCGAACAGG
rnacentral:rRNA from 1 species